GACGAACGCUGGCGGCGUGCCUAAUACAUGCAAGUAGAACGCUGAAGGAGGAGCUUGCUUCUCUGGAUGAGUUGCGAACGGGUGAGUAACGCGUAGGUAACCUGCCUGGUAGCGGGGGAUAACUAUUGGAAACGAUAGCUAAUACCGCAUAAGAUUAGAUGUUGCAUGACAUUUGCUUAAAAGUUGCAAUUGCAUCACUACCAGAUGGACCUGCGUUGUAUUAGCUAGGUGGGGGGGUAACGGCUUACCAAGGCGAAGAUUCAUAGCCGACCUGAGAGGGUGAUCCGCCAACCUGGGACUGGGAACCGGCCCAGACUCCUACGGGAGGCAGCAGUAGGGAAUCUUUGGACAUGGAGGGAAGUCUGACCGAGCCACGCCGCGUGAGUGGAGAAGGUUUUCGGAUUGUAAAGGUCUGUUGUAAGAGAAGAAAGAGUGUGAGAGUGGAACGUUCACACUGUGACGGUAUCUUACCAGAAAGCGACGGCUAACUACGUG
rnacentral:rRNA from 1 species